AUUAGUUUGGAUCGAACUGCCGACCAUGGGCAGGCUGGGAAGCCAAUCGCUCAGCCCAGCCGCGGAGCAGCGAGCGUCGCCGGGGAACUGGGUGAUGUUCGCCAGUCGUUCGUCCUCGUUCUCUCCUUCGGGAUGGAGCGCUUCCCUUUUCUGAGAUUUCUCCCUCCUCUUUUCCCUCAGCCAGUUAUUGGGUCGGUGACCCUAUAUUGUCGAUUCCCUUUCUUGAAUAGCAGAAACGCUUGCGCCGGUAACUGUUCUUAGCAAGUGGAUGCGACACUGGAGGUGCUAGGAGAAAUUUUGGCAAAACCAUGGUGAAGCGUGAUGACUGCUGAAUGAAGAUGGCACUCAGCGUAAACAAAGGCACAUAACAAGCAAGCACCUAGAAUUGCGACCUGGUGUCUGCCUCAUGUGCAUUCUUCUCCUUAGUAUCGAGGAAGAGUGAAGAGAUAGCUGGUUGGUAGAUACAUCAUGAAUCAAAACUGGAGUACGCAUUGUUUAUUGUCAUUAGUCCUCCUACCAAAAUCAAACCCUGCAAGCAUUCGACAAACUUGAUGUAGGGAAGUUGCUUGGUUAUACAUUUUUCUUUACAUCCGUACAUGGAAUAGUUAAUUAGCCUACUUGUGUACACUCAUCUCUAGUCUCAAAACAUAAGAGCUGAGCAGAACAAAAAUUAUACUCAUCCCGAUUUCAUAUUCAUUGCUCAGGCUCACUUCAGUUGCUAGAGCAACCCCAUUUGUUUGACAUCUGACGACUCAAGCCGCGCUUUUAGCAUUGCCAACUGACCUUUCACACUUAGAUCAAUAGCAUGAGAUCCAUCACUGCAGUAGCUGAUGACGAACCCUGCAAUCAAUGAUGGAUCAAUGGAGUUUUCGAGUCUCAAUUCCUGGAAUCCAGUAAGCCUCUGCAUCUUCUUAGAUAUCAGCUCAAUUUGUCUCUCGUCCAAUUUCACAGCUGAAGAGACAGAAACAACAAGAACAUGAUCACUGGGCUUGAAGCGGCCACUGUCACCCUCUUUGCUCACUUCUUCCAACAAACCCUGAACGGAACUUGUACUCAAGGGAUGGAAUUCCGAUACGCCAUUCGUCUGAGCAGUUUGAUAGAGGGACUGGGCUAGUGGAAUUGUGUUCCUGGCAGAGGGCUUCUUUGUUGUCGCUUUGAGAGAACUAGUUCUGCAAAAUGGCAGAGUCAUUUGCAGCUUCUGACAGUCAUCCAGUGAAGACGAACGUUUCAGGGGUAAUGCUGGUUGCCUAGUUGCACUGAUGGAUUGGUUUAAGAUGCUCAUCUGCACAGCCAGAAUCAGUAGCCAGAAACCCUGCAAACUACUGAAUCACAUGGGCAUCCACUGUGAUUAAAUUGCGAAUUGUGUGAAAAGCAUGGAGCAGGGAAAAGUAACAAGAAUUAAGCAGAGAAAGAUGAACCUGUAGGAGGAACGGAUUUGAGUUAACUGGAUCAACAGCAACAGAAGAAGAAAGAGUACGGAGUUUUAAGGCAAUGGUUUUGGAGACGACAGGUUAGCGAGAGUGACGGAGUUCGUAGCCACAGAAGCGCCAUCUUCUUCUGCUGCUGCUUGUGGCCACCCGCUGAAGCGCCCUCUCUAUCUUAUCUCUUCAGUACACAUAUUUGCAAAUAGCUCCAUCACAAAAUUGGCCGACAGCAGGGUUUUUAUUUAUUGAGGCGAGGGAUUAAUUUGAGCACCUUUCAUGGAAGCCUCAAUUUAUUAUAACAAAAAAAAAAUAGUAAUAAAGAGGAUUCAUCUCUUGUCA